rnacentral:lncRNA from 1 species
UAGCAGAAACUUUGGACUCUUUUAGAGACAUGUAAAAAAUAUUUCUUCUCUCAGAAGGUUAAAUGAAAAUAUCUCCUUCUCCCUUUUUCCUCUCAUUACUCUUUCAAAAGUUAGCAUAAAUUUCUAUCAAUCCUUGAAAAUCAAUAUUUUCACAUGGUAUUAGAGCGGAUACUCCGUUCCUACUCCUCACCAGCUUCGUUGCGAUGUUAACCUCACUUAUUUUCGUCAGAGUUUUCUUGUUCACUAAGAAAUUUGGGGGUUUUAUGGUUUCAUUGAGUCUUCUUCUACAAUUUCUGAUUUGAGAGGUUUGUCAUACUGGAUAUUCAUUGGAUUGACGAGGAUAUCAGUCGAUCCCUCCGAUUUUUCAUUUUCCAGCUGUUAGGGUUUGGUUCCUUUCAAGUUCAUGGAUGUUGCCGUCUUUCGGUCGCAAAGACGAAGGGCAUUCUCU